rnacentral:ncRNA from 1 species
GGUGUCGAAAGACUUAAUAGGGAAGCCGGUAAAGUCCGGCGCGGUCCCGCCACUGUAACAGGGAGCGACUUUGCAAGAUAUGUCACUGGAGAGGGAGAAAGCCUCUUUGGGAAGGCGCAGAGGAGCGAUGAACUGGAGCCAGGAGAACUGCCUGAUU